rnacentral:lncRNA from 1 species
GAUCCUCCAAUUGCAACCAAACAGUAGGCAUUUGUCAGCUUUGAGAACACUCCAACUUCGCAAGAGUUCUCAAACUGAAUCCCUGCAAAAAGUUAACUGAUGACUUCUUGAGGUCCCUUUUAAAGUUGUAAAGCAUUUAACAACAUAUUUCCUUGUCAUUGAUGAAGAAUGCAUCAUGUGGCAAAUAUAGCAGAAAAUGGAGUAAUCAUCUUCAACCGGGAACAUGAGAAAGUGAGCACUUUAAGAGCUAAAACUACCCAGUUCAGCAUUCAAGGACCAUUCAAGGAUAGAAGAAAAUGGAAUUAUAGGACUGAAAUAAAAUUUAAUGAUAUUCAAAAGCAAUCAACCCUAUGAAGCAUGUAUUAUCUGCAUGGGACACUCUGGUUUUACACAUCAGUAAUUGCUCAUAUAUUUCUAGAAAGAGGCAUUGAACAAAAAUAUCCCGAGAAUUUAGAGAGACCACAACAUAGCAAUCCAGAUUUGCCAACUUCUAUGAAAUGCCAAACAAUUUACACUUCUUCAUGACAAAAAAAUUCAACAAGUUCCUUAUUUUCAUCAACUAGACAUAAAAUAUAGCUAUUGGUACUUACGAGUAGCCAUGACGGCCGGCUGCAAACACCUUUAAAGACCUGUGAUGACCACGAAUAAUAAAAAAGUCAAAACUUUGCAAAGCUAAAGAAGCUGAACAUAUUUCAUCGAAUCAUGCAAGAAGACACCCAAACAAAGGGAUCUUUUCCAGCCCAAAAUCAACGGAUUCACUUCUUCUAUGCACUCCGAAUGAAACUAGACAAUCAAGAUAUCAAAGCAAAAACACCACACAAAAAAGCAAUCAAGAAAUACGCUCAGAAACAUUUCCUCAUGAAAUCGAAAGGUUAGAGGGACCUAAUCAUCUACGAAACCCAAAGUCUCAUCUUCUAGAAUAGACUCCAAUUAUUCGAAUUAUCACCGCGUAGGCCACAUCGGAUGGGAAAGCAAGACACCCAGAGAGAGAUACUGGACCUUA